GCUACCUCCUUCCCCUAACCGACACUUCUUCCCUUUCUCGUUCCUUUCCUCUCUCUUCUCCUCCCAUGGCAGCCAUGCUCCAAAUUCUCUCCUUGCGGUGCCUAAUCCUUUGGGGGAACUAGCAAAAUGGAGCGAGGAGGAUGAGAGGAGUGCGGAGAGGUGCAUCUUCGUGGUGGAUUUGUCCUUCGCCUUGCUUUCCCAUUGACCUAGGGUUUGGGGAAGAUCAAGGGGACAUUCAGAUCUAGUAGCUCGUCAAAUUUCGUGAUGUUAGCUCAAGGGAUUUGAGAGGGGCAGAUCUAGCGGUGGACCUAGGGGGGCUAAGACCCCACAAACAAUGGAGCCCCCUCUUGAGCCCCCGCCCCCCUAGGAGAAAGGAGGAGGAAGAAGAGGAGGAAGGAGGAGGAAGGAAGAGGAACAAGAAAAUCAGCCCGCCCUUAAUCCAUUCCUAGGUACUGAAUUGGCCGGCCAAAAUAUUUCCUAAUUAGAUGGGAUCAAUAUUAUAUAAGUUAAUAACCUCCCUACAUGGCGGGUCAAUACCUUCCUUAAUCUAGUUGAAUAUAAUUAGCAAGAUUGAUUGGCCAGCCAAUACCUUUUCUAAUCAAGUUGAAUGCAAGGUUGAUCUCUGUCAAUGACUAGCCUAUAUUUCCUUGCAAAAUCGCAACACAUUAUAUAAUUCCUUUUGCAAUUAUCGGCCAA